CGUAGGGUGCGAGCGUUAAUCGGAAUUACUGGGCGUAAAGUGUGCGCAGGCGGCCGCGCAAGUCGAGUGUGAAAGCCCCGGGCUUAACUUGGGAAUUGCGCUCGAAACUACGUGGCUGGAGUGUGGCAGAGGAAGGUGGAAUUCCACGUGUAGCGGUGAAAUGCGUAGAGAUGUGGAGGAACACCGAUGGCGAAGGCAGCCUUCUGGGCCAACACUGACGCUCAUGCACGAAAGCGUGGGGAGCAAACAGGAUUAGAUACCCUGGUAGUCCACGCCCUAAACGAUGAUGACUAGUUGUUGGAGGAGUUAAAUCCUUUAGUAACGCAGCUAACGCGUGAAGUCAUCCGCCUGGGGAGUACGGUCGCGAGAUUA
rnacentral:rRNA from 1 species